AAAGAGGCCCCAGAGAGCUUGUUCGUCCCUUCCACCAUCUGAGAACACACAGAAAGUGCCAUCUAUGAGGAACAGGAACUCAUCAGACAUCAAGUCCACUGGAGCCUUCAUACUGGACUUCCCAGGCUCCAGAACUGCUGAAUAAUAUUCCAUUGUAUGGAUAUGCCCCAUUGUUUAUUCACUCAUCUGUGGAUGAAAACCUCAACAUUUUGGAGUAGCUGGUCUGCAGCAACAGGUCACUGGAGCAGCAGGUGAUGCAGCCACGGAAAGCAGAGCUGGGUUUCCACAGCAGAUGUCAGGACCUGAAGAGUCCACCCAGAACACAGGACACCAGGAACUAACCCUCAGAGCAGACAUACACCUGAAAUUUAGGAACUGCUUAACAUGUGGAAAGCAACUAUAAACAUCAGUGAAAAAAUUCAGAAAACAGGAAGUCUGGACUUUGAGCAAACCAAUUAUCAUCCUGAGCCUCAGUUUCCUAAUUCAUAAAAUACAGGAUAAUAUUAUGUAUU